GAAAUACGGUCUCUACUCUUGAGCAGCUCAUGACCCAGCAAACCAAUUAUCAGAGUGUGGCAUGAGAAGUGCCACCUAAGAGAGAGAUAAACUGGAGAAACUAUAGGAAAAGAGAAGAGGAGACCAGAAAGACUUGUGAGAAGAAAUUACACUGCUGUUGAAGUCUGAAAGAAAACUAGGAUCUAGUUUGGAAGGAAAGAAAAACAGCAAUCCAGGAAAAAACAAACAAACAAACGUGUGCAGAGCUGUAUGGACUUGUGACAGCAUGGUAAAUUUAGAGACUUGCAGGUAUGGAGAGGCCAACAGAUCAGGAGAUGACUGCUCUUGAAAAGACAGACUGAGACAGUUCCCAGGACAGGAGAGUGUGUGCUCCACCAUGCCAGGCCACAUGGGGGAGCGGCAGGGUCAGUCGGGACAGCGGGAGCAAGAGCCUUUAUUCUGGUUUCCCCAGGAACAGGUGAGGCCAGGUCACAAUUCAUAUUGAUAUUUAAAUGGCAUCUGGAUGCUGCAUAUUGCAUAUUAGAAACAAAAAAAAUUGGUAAAAUCCCAAUACGAAGAGAGAGAACAAAACAAGCAGAAAAAUUAACCUGAUGGAAGCAAAUAAGAACAAAAGAAAACAAAACCUAUAAGCAAAUAAUACCAUGGGAAAAUAACAGAAGUUUUUGCAUCCAUAAACCAAGGAUAUGGUGCCUCACGCCUGUAAUCCCAGCACUUUAGGAGGCCGAGGCGGGCAGAUCACCUGAGGUCAGGAGUUCGAGAGCAGUCUGGCCAUCAUGGUGAAACCCUGUCUCUACUGAAAAUACAAAAAUUAGCUGGGCAUAGUGGCGGGUGCCUGUAGUCCCAGCUACUCGGGAGUCUGAGGCAGGAGAAUCACUUGAAUGCAGGAGGCAGAGGUUGCAGUGACCUGAGAUCACACCACUGCACUCCAGCCUGGGCAACAGAGUGAGACUCAGUCUAAAAUAAAAAAUAAAAAAUAAAGCCAAGAAAGAACACUUGGAAAUUUAAACUUAGGGAAGCUGAAAUUGAACAUUUUAGUCAAAGAGCUGGGAAGCCAUUUAUCUUCCAGUAAAUGGGGAAAAAAUAGAGAUAAAGAAACAGAACAGGGCUGGGCGCAGUGGCUCAUGCCUGUAAUCCCAGCACUUUGGGAGGCCGAGAUGGGCAGAUCACUGGAGUUCAAGAGUUCGAGACCAGCCUGGCCAGCAUGGUGAAGCCCCGUCUCUACUAAAAAUACAAAAAUUAGCCGGGCGUGGUUGCACACAUAUGUAAUCCCAGCUAGUCGGUAAGCUGAGGCAGGAGAAUCACUUGAACCUGGGAGGCGGAGGUUGCAGUAAGCUGAGAUCAUGCCACUGCACUUUGGCCUGGGCGACAGAGCGAGACUCUGUAUCCAAAGAAUAAAAAAUAAAAAACAGAACAGAAAGGAGAUGAAUGUAGAGGAUCAAUCCAGAAGAUCAAGAAUUAUAGAAAGAGAAAAGAAAAAAAGGAAAGACAGAAAUAUUUUCAAGGCAAAAUACAAGAAAAUUUCCCAGAGGGAUGCAGACUCUCCACAUUGAAAGGCCCUUCUAAGUGUCUAAUAUCGUGAAUAUUUCAGGACAUCAGGAAUAAAAAGGCAAUUGUAAAACUCUGCAGAGCAACCAAUCAUAUUAUGGUUAUUUUUUCGCAAAGAACAGGCCUUUUUACAGUGAGAUAUCAUGAUGGAUUUUAUUCAAAACAGCAGGAUGGGGCAGGGCUUGUCUGCAGGAGUUUAAGUGAUACAAAAUUGGCCAUGUAUUCAUGUUUGAAUCUGCGUGAUGAGAACAUGGGAAUUCAUUAAACUAUUCUGUAU
rnacentral:lncRNA from 1 species